AUGAUAGGUAUAGGUAUGAAUUAAAUGAAUGAAUGAAUGUUGAGCACAAAGGAAAGAUAUUUAAGAAAUUAAUAAUGGUAUAAUGAAGCAUAUAAGAAAUCACUGACUAAAAACGCAAAAAGUAUACAGUCCAUUAGUCAAUCUGCACCUCUACAUGAAAUCACAGCUAGCUCAUCAGACAAAGGCCAAUUGAUCAAGAAAUUAAAGACAGAAUACAACAGAUAACUUACUUUUAAUUUUUGUGAUUUUUAAUAUUAAAUUUAAAAAUUAUUAUAGUUAUUAAUUAAUAGUAAUAAUAAUAAUAGAUCUAAUUGCAAUGAAUAUGUAAUGAGUUCAGUCAUGAAUCAUUACCG